rnacentral:rRNA from 1 species
AGCGAACGCUGGCGGCAGGCCUAACACAUGCAAGUCGAACGAAGUCUUCGGACUUAGUGGCGGACGGGUGAGUAACACGUGGGAACGUGCCUUUAGGUUCGGAAUAACUCAGGGAAACUUGUGCUAAUACCGAAUGUGCCCUUCGGGGGAAAGAUUUAUCGCCUUUAGAGCGGCCCGCGUCUGAUUAGCUAGUUGGUGAGGUAAAGGCUCACCAAGGCGACGAUCAGUAGCUGGUCUGAGAGGAUGAUCAGCCACAUUGGGACUGAGACACGGCCCAAACUCCUACGGGAGGCAGCAGUGGGGAAUCUUGCGCAAUGGGCGAAAGCCUGACGCAGCCAUGCCGCGUGAAUGAUGAAGGUCUUAGGAUUGUAAAGCUCUUUCACCCACGACGAUGAUGACGGUCGUGGGAGAAGAAGCCCCGGCCAACUUCGUGCCAGCAGCCGCCGUAA